rnacentral:rRNA from 1 species
UAGGGAAUUUUGGGCAAUGGGGGAAACCCUGACCCAGCAACGCCGCGUGUGGGAUGAAGGCUCUCGGGUCGUAAACCACUGUCAGGAGGGAAGAACUGCGGUUCGGAUAAUACCCGUGCCGUUUGACGGUACCUCCAAAGGAAGCACCGGCUAACUCCGUGCCAGCAGCCGCGGUAAUACGGAGGGUGCAAGCGUUGUUCGGAAUUACUGGGCGUAAAGAGCGUGUAGGCGGCUUGGAAAGUCGGGUGUGAAAUCCCCGGGCUCAACCCGGGAACUGCAUCCGAAACUUCCAGGCUAGAGUCCCGGAGAGGAAGGCAGAAUUCCCAAUGUAGGGGUGAAAUCCGUAGAUAUUGGGAGGAAUACCAGUGGCGAAGGCGGCCUUCUGGACGGUGACUGACGCUGAGACGCGAAAGCGUGGGGAGCAAACAGGAUUAGAUACCCCGGUAGUCC